rnacentral:rRNA from 1 species
GAAUUCGCCCUUAGAGUUUGAUCCUGGCUCAGGACGAACGCUGGCGGCGCGCCUAACACAUGCAAGUCGAACGGAGCUUAGAGAGCUUGCUUUUUAAGCUUAGUGGCGAACGGGUGAGUAACGCGUGAGUAACCUGCCCUAGAGUGGGGGACAACAGUUGGAAACGACUGCUAAUACCGCAUAAGCCCACGGUACCGCAUGAUACUGAGGGAAAAGGAUUUAUUCGCUUUAGGAUGGACUCGCGUCCAAUUAGCUAGUUGGUGGGGUAACGGCCUACCAAGUCGACGAUCAGUAGCCGGACUGAGAGGUUGAACGGCCACAUUGGGACUGAGAUACGGCCCAGACUCCUACGGGAGGCAGCAGUGGGGAAUAUUGCACAAUGGGGGAAACCCUGAUGCAGCAACGCCGCGUGAAGGAUGACGGUUUUCGGAUUGUAAACUUCUUUUCUUAGUGACGAAGACAGUGACGGUAGCUAAGGAAUAAGCAUCGGCUAACUACGUGCCAGCAGCCGCGGUAAUACGUAGGAUGCAAGCGUUAUCCGGAUUUACUGGGUGUAAAGGGAGCGCAGGCGGGACUGCAAGUUGGAUGUGAAAUACCGUGGCUUAACCACGGAACUGCAUCCAAAACUGUAGUUCUUGAGUGAAGUAGAGGCAAGCGGAAUUCCCGGUGUAGCGGUGGAAUGCGUAGAUAUCGGGAGGAACACCAGUGGCGAAGGCGGCCUACUGGGCACCAACUGACGCUGAGGCUCGAAAGUGUGGGUAGCAAACAGGAUUAGAUACCCUGGUAGUCCACACCGUAAACGAUGAUUACUAGGUGUUGGAGGAUUGACCCCUUCAGUGCCGCAGUUAACACAAUAAGUAAUCCACCUGGGGAGUACGACCGCAAGGUUGAAACUCAAAGGAAUUGACGGGGGCCCGCACAAGCAGUGGAGUAUGUGGUUUAAUUCGACGCAACGCGAAGAACCUUACCAAGUCUUGACAUCCUGCGACGAUGCUGGAAACAGUAUUUUCCUUCGGGACGCAGAGACAGGUGGUGCAUGGUUGUCGUCAGCUCGUGUCGUGAGAUGUUGGGUUAAGUCCCGCAACGAGCGCAACCCUUAUGGUCAGUUACUACGCAAGAGGACUCUGGCCAGACUGCCGUUGACAAAACGGAGGAAGGUGGGGAUGACGUCAAAUCAUCAUGCCCUUUAUGACUUGGGCUACACACGUACUACAAUGGCGUUAAACAAAGAGAAGCAAGACCGCGAGGUGGAGCAAAACUCAGAAACAACGUCCCAGUUCGGACUGCAGGCUGCAACUCGCCUGCACGAAGUCGGAAUUGCUAGUAAUCGCAGAUCAGCAUGCUGCGGUGAAUACGUUCCCGGGCCUUGUACUCACCGCCCGUCA